rnacentral:rRNA from 1 species
GACGUAGGGCGCGAGCGUUGUCCGGAUUUAUUGGGCGUAAAGAGCUCGUAGGCGGCUUGUCACGUCGGAUGUGAAAGCCCGAGGCUUAACCUCGGGUCUGCAUUCGAUACGGGCUAGCUAGAGUGUGGUAGGGGAGAUCGGAAUUCCUGGUGUAGCGGUGAAAUGCGUAGAUAUUGGGAGGAACACCAGUGGCGAAGGCGGCUACCUGGACCGGUUCUGACGCUGAGGCGCGAAAGCGUGGGUAGCAAACAGG